UAACAAUGGUGUAAAUAUUUGAAAAAUC
rnacentral:sRNA from 1 species